CUUGGUUAGUCCGUACAUCCAACCCACCAACGCCAUCAUCAAAUCUGUACCCCAAAGAAAAUGCCCAUGAAAGAGCAACACUCACCCAGCAGACCUCUGCCUCUCCCAAAGAAAGUGUCACCUGCCCCUUUUCCCUAGAGUCCUCUCAGUGGCUGAAAAGAAGGCAGGGUAGCUGGGGCCCCUCUGUCACAUGGAUCAGGAUCUGGGCCUACUCUAAUGCAUCCCUGUGAUCUAGGUGUGGAGAUCACGGUCCCAUCCACACCUCCCGGGCCAACAUUCUCGGGAACUGCUGCUGUACAGAGUCAAAUAAUCGCUUGUACUCCAGUUCAAGCUCCCACUCCAUUGUGGCCAGGUGGGUCAAAUUGUGUUCCAGAUCAGUUGCUUCUGAGAGAUCCAGUAGGUGUUCCCUAUUUUCCCGAAUGUCAUUGGAAGUCCUUAGAAGUUCUGUCUCAAAUUCAACUUUAUCCUCAAGGGCCUCCCACAAUAGGCCAGGGCCAUCAUAUCCCUAACCUUCUGGAGGGUCGUCAUCUGCUAGAAAUGGGUACUGCAGUACUGCAUACCACCUUAAAACCCGGUACGAAUCAUCCAGCCACAAUUCUUUCUGGGCCAGCUCCUCUAAUUUAAACUUACUUUCCACCAGGGGCUGCUCUCACAAGAAUUGCAUCCUCAAAUAGAAACCUAGAAUGUGACGGCAGAUAAGAACCAUUAGGCCCAUCUAGUCUGCCCAAUUUUCUAAAUACUUUCAUUAGUCCCUGGCCUUAUCUUA